rnacentral:rRNA from 1 species
AUGCAAGCUAAACACGCUCCGGUGUCCGUCUUGCUGGUUCUCUUCGUGCUCUCCGUCGUCCUCACGCUGGUGCCACAGCCGCAGAAAUCAUUCUUCCGGGCUCGGCCACGGCCACUUCUGAUCGACAAUGAUGGCGGGGGCAUUACGGCUCACGCCUCCGGUGGUUGCGACUACUCCGACGGGAAAUGGGUGAAGGACGCCACUACCGCGACGCUCUACGGGGAAGACUGCCCGUUCCUCGAUCCCGGCUUCCGCUGCGAGCGCAACGGCAGGAACGACUCGUCCUUCCAGCAAUGGCGCUGGCAACCCCGCGGCAGCUGCCACCUUCCGAAGUUUAAUGCGACGGAUAUGUUGGAGAGGAGCCGGAACGGCCGAAUCGUGUUCGCUGGCGACUCCAUCGGCCGUAACCAGUGGGAGUCCAUGCUGUGCAUGCUCGCCAGCGCGGUGCCGAAUGGUUCGAGGAUAUACGAGCAGUCCGGGAAGCCCCUUAGCCGGCACAAGGGCUACCUCUCCAUGAUCUUCCUGGACUACAACCUCUCUGUGGAGUACUACCGCGCGCCGAUGCUCGUCAUGGUCGACCGCAUCCUGCCAGUGGCAAGCAACAAAGGUGCAAGCAUUACCAGGGGCGCCAUCCGGCUCGACGUGCUGCCACGCCACGCCACACGCUGGGCCGGUGCCGAUGUGCUCGUGCUCAACACGGGUCACUGGUGGAAUGAACACAAGACCAUCAAAUCAGGAAAUUAUUUCAUGGUGGGAGAUCGGUUCAACAUGACAAUGGACAUCAAGGAAGCGUUCCGGUUAUCCCUGCAGACGGUGAAAGAUUGGGCGCUAAGAAGUCCACGACUCUCCACGAGCGGCUACCUCUUCUUCAGGAGCUAUUCUCCAUCACACUACGACAACGGAACGUGGGACACUGGGGGCUCAUGCGCGGACCAACAGGACCCGCUGGUGAUGACCACUGGCGAGAGCGACCAAGAGUAUUCAUGGAUCAACACGAUGAUCUCGAGCACGGCACGACGCACGAGUAGACAACAGAUGAACAAUAGGGUGGUGUUCUUGAACAUAACGCACAUGACAGGGCUGAGAAGGGACGGUCAUCCGUCGCGACACCGAGAGCCCGGGACGCCGCCGGAUGCCCCAGAGGAUUGCAGCCACUGGUGCCUGCCAGGUGUGCCGGACGCGUGGAACCAGGUGAUGUACGGGCACCUCGUGUCUACGGGAUAUGGCAUGAGGUCGGUCAAAAAGUAA